rnacentral:rRNA from 1 species
UACGAAGGGGGCUAGCGUUGCUCGGAUUUACUGGGCGUAAAGGGCGCGUAGGCGGAUGGUCAAGUUGGGGGUGAAAGCCCGGGGCUCAACCUCGGAACUGCCCUCAAGACUGGCUGUCUAGAGUUUGGGAGAGGUGUGUGGAACUCCGAGUGUAGAGGUGAAAUUCGUAGAUAUUCGGAAGAACACCAGUGGCGAAGGCGACACACUGGCCCAAUACUGACGCUGAGGCGCGAAAGCGUGGGGAGCAAACAGG